GGGGCCGUAGCUCAGCUGGGAGAGCGCCGCACUGGCAGUGCGGAGGUCAGGGGUUCGAUCCCCCUCGGCUCCACCA
rnacentral:tRNA from 1 species